GGCCUGAUGGUCUAGUAGUAUGAUUCCUUGUUAGGGCGAAAGCGUCGUUUCGAGGAGGUCCCGGGUUCAAUUCCCGGUCAGGCCC
rnacentral:tRNA from 1 species